UACAGAGGGGGCAAGCGUUGUUCGGAAUUACUGGGCGUAAAGGGCGCGUAGGCGGCCUGUUAAGUCGAACGUGAAAUCCCCGGGCUCAACCCGGGAACUGCGUCCGAUACUGGCAGGCUUGAAUUCGGGAGAGGGAUGCGGAAUUCCAGGUGUAGCGGUGAAAUGCGUAGAUAUCUGGAGGAACACCGGUGGCGAAGGCGGCAUCCUGGACCGAGAUUGACGCUGAGGCGCGAAAGCCAGGGGAGCAAAACAGGG
rnacentral:rRNA from 1 species